CUGAUGGGCGGUGACCACAGGGACCAGUAGGUGACGUCACAGCUGGGAACUAGGGUGUCCUGGAGACAGUCCCCCGAGCAGUUCCCUAGAGCAGUUCCCUGUCCCAGGCCUGGCACUCCUCGCCCACUUGUCAGAGGCAGACACGCAGGACCCACCUUCCCGCCUCUAGCCCUGCCCACAGGCGCCAAGCUCCGCCUACAUGCGCCAGGCCCCGCCCACAUGCGCCAGGCCCCGCCUCUACGCAUCCACUUAGGACUGGUUGCCGCUCAGCGCUUCGUUAGAACUGUGUCCACUUCUGGGCAAAUCAAGUCACCCAAAGGGUUGCUUGGCUGACUGGCAGCCCCCGCGUCGGGAGUUUUCUCUCAGUGGAGCACCUGGGCCGUCUUCUGAGGACAGCUGAACCAGUUACUCACUUGGACCACGUUUUCCCAGAUGGCUGAGAAAAGCGGAAGGACGCCACUGCCCCUUCGCCAGCCCCAGGGCCGGGCCGGGCAGCCAGGUCACAGCAGCAAUGAGACAGGCAUCAUCACAGACGUUGAGGAUGCAGCCCCAAGCCCUCCAGCUGGCAGACAGGCUCCUGGGUGCCCCUCCCCGACGGACAGCCACUGAGUUCCCGGACCCUGGACCAGAAAAAGGACAUGCGGGGAAAUCUGAAGCAAGUACGGACUCCAGUCACUAAUAAUUAUAAGCCAGCACUCUGGCGUGACGUGUCAACGUGAGAGGAGUGUCGGGUGUAUGGGAGGUCUCUGCUCUAGCUUUCAAAUUUUGCUAUAAACCGAAGAUUACGUUUAUUUUUGAAGAUGAUUCUGAAACAAAAACAGGACUGAG